ensembl:misc_RNA Metazoa_SRP Metazoan signal recognition particle RNA
GCCAGGCGUGGUGGUGCAUGCCUGUAAUCCCAGCUACUCGGGAGGCUGAUGCAGGAGAAUCGCUUGAACCCAGGAGGCGGAGGUUGCAGUGAGCCAAGAUCACACCACUGCAUUCCAGCCUGGGUGACAGAGUGAGACCCUGUCUUAA